CAAACAGCCCUUUUCAGGGCCAACAAACAUUGUUUAAAGGGUUUAUU
rfam:Aedes aegypti strain Liverpool supercont1.24 genomic scaffold, whole genome shotgun sequence.